UUCCAGACUCCUACGGGAGGCAGCAGUGAGGAAUAUUGGUCAAUGGGCGCGAGCCUGAACCAGCCAAGUCGCGUGAGGGAAGACGGUCCUAUGGAUUGUAAACCUCUUUUGUCGGGGAGCAAAAGACGCCACGCGUGGCGUUCCGAGAGUACCCGAAGAAAAAGCAUCGGCUAACUCCGUGCCAGCAGCCGCGGUAAUACGGAGGAUGCGAGCGUUAUCCGGAUUUAUUGGGUUUAAAGGGUGCGUAGGCGGGAUGCCAAGUCAGCGGUAAAAAUGCGGUGCUCAACGCCGUCGAGCCGUUGAAACUGGUUUUCUUGAGUGAGCGAGAAGUAUGCGGAAUGCGUGGUGUAGCGGUGAAAUGCAUAGAUAUCACGCAGAACUCCGAUUGCGAAGGCAGCAUACCGGCGCUCAACUGACGCUCAUGCACGAAAGUGUGGGUAUCGAACAGGAUUAGAUACCCUCGUA
rnacentral:rRNA from 1 species